GAAUAAUCCAGCCAACAGCGCUUUCAGAUCGUGCUCCAAGCAUCAGAGAAGCUGCAUAUCCGUCUACCUACAUAUGGGUCCAGUCUCCAAACAUGGCAGGCACCACGGAGGGUUAUCCGGCCUCACCUUCAGAGCCUAAGCUAAGUACAGAAGAGCACACAAAUCCUAACUACUGCUCAGUGAAUUUCCCCAACAUGCACAUCCCUGCGUAACCAGCACCCAGACCAAGAAGGAGAAGCCUUCUGUACACCAGAAGCCCCGCUGUCCCCCUCGUGACCCUCUCUCAACAGGAACUACUAUCUUGACCUCUAACGCUGUAAAUCCGCUUGGCUGUUUUGAAAUUUGUAUCGAUGCAAUCGUAGUUUACAUUCUUUUAGGUCUUCUUUUGCUCAAUAUUCUUUGCAAGUUUCAUUCAUGCGGAUCCACGAAGCUACUUCCAUCCUAUGCAUGUAACAGAUUAUCUAUUUCACUGUUGAUGUGCGUUUAGCUUAUUUCCAAUUUGAGGCUGUUACAAACAGACCCCUACAAAACGUCUUAUACUUAAGUCGCCUGGUGAACACAUGUGGGGUGGCUUUGUAAUAGGUCAGCCUGGCUAGGCCGAACUACGUCUCUCAGAAUUGCCUUCCUCGUGAAUUCCAGGUGAGACGGGUGGAAUGUGGGAUGUGGGACGUGGGAGUGAUGUGGCAGGGCAGCAGUCGGCAUAUCGUAUGCACAUCAGGAGGCUGGGGGAGGAGCACCAGGCAGCUCGUGUGCAUUACUGCUCGUCUGCGGACCACCUCGGGGGUCUGGGGGUGGCAGCCAGGCCUGUGAAUGCUGGACCCACCUUCCCCUGGAUCUUCUUUCACCUUCUCUGACUCCUAAGCCAGUUGUGGGUUUAGUUCCACAAUGAAGGGCAUCAACUUCAUCAGGACACCCACAUCCUGAAAGCUGGAGGCGGACUGACCCGGGUUCCUGUACAUGAGUUCCAGCUUCUCUCCAUGUUCCCAACUAUACUCUCUUCUUCGAUAACUGCCGGCCCAAUAGAGUUCCAGCUCCCUCAUCAGGCAGAAAGACAACAGCCUUAUACAGCCUGCCUACCUAGCUCCCACAACUGCGUAAGAUCAAAUUCUUGCAAUAAAUCCCUUUAGACAUCUC